rnacentral:misc_RNA from 1 species
GAUGAAGAACGUAGCGAAAUGCGAUAAGUAAUGUGAAUUGCAGAAUUCAGUGAAUCAUCGAAUCUUUGAACGCACCUUGCACCCUUUGGCAUUCCGAAGGGUAUGCUCGUUUGAGUGUCAUUGUACUCUCACACUUCCGAUCUUUGGAUUGGGAGCAGUGGACUUGGGUGUUGCUGCUUACUGUGGCUCACCUCAAAUCGAUUCGUGCACCUCUUGGUUGGACAUAGUACGGCGUGAUAAGUGUCUUCGCCGGCACCUCAGUAGAGGGUGGCUGAUCGGGAGCUCUGUGCUUCAAACCGUCCUCGGACAACAACUGACAACUUGACCUCAAAUCGAGUAGGACUACCCGCUGAACUUAAGCAUAUCAAUAAGCGGAGGA